UACGGAGGGUGCAAGCGUUGUUCGGAAUUACUGGGCGUAAAGCGUGUGUAGGCGGUGACCAUAAGUCGGGUGUGAAAGCCCUGGGCUCAACCCAGGAACUGCGCUCGAUACUGUGGCACUAGAAUUCGGGAGAGGGAUGUGGAAUUCCUGGUGUAGGGGUGAAAUCCGUAGAGAUCAGGAGGAACACUCGCGGCGAAGGCGACAUCCUGGACCGUAAUUGACGCUGAGACACGAAAGCAUGGGUAGCAAACAGG
rnacentral:rRNA from 1 species